CAGCCGCCGCGGGAAUACGAAGGGGGCUAGCGUUGUUCGGAUUUACUGGGCGUAAAGCGCACGUAGGCGGACUUUUAAGUCAGGGGUGAAAUCCCGGGGCUCAACCCCGGAACUGCCUUUGAUACUGGAAGUCUUGAGUAUGGUAGAGGUGAGUGGAAUUCCGAGUGUAGAGGUGAAAUUCGUAGAUAUUCGGAGGAACACCAGUGGCGAAGGCGGCUCACUGGACCAUUACUGACGCUGAGGUGCGAAAGCGUGGGGAGCAAACAGGAUUAGAUACCCGGGUAGUCCCUGUCUCUUAUAC
rnacentral:rRNA from 1 species